CCUAUAAGACUGGGAUAACUUCGGGAAACCGGAGCUAAUGCCGGAUAACAUUUGGAACCGCAUGGUUCUAAAGUAAAAGAUGGUUUUGCUAUCACUUAUAGAUGGACCCGCGCCGUAUUAGCUAGUUGGUAAGGUAACGGCUUACCAAGGCAACGAUACGUAGCCGACCUGAGAGGGUGAUCGGCCACACUGGAAUUGAGACACGGUCCAGACUCCUACGGGAGGCAGCAGUAGGGAAUCUUCCGCAAUGGACGAAAGUCUGACGGAGCAACGCCGCGUGAGUGAUGAAGGUUUUCGGAUCGUAAAACUCUGUUAUUAGGGAAGAACAAAUGUGUAAGUAACUGUGCACAUCUUGACGGUACCUAAUCAGAAAGCCACGGCUAACUACGUGCCAGCAGCCGCGGUAAUACGUAGGUGGCAAGCGUUAUCCGGAAUUAUUGGGCGUAAAGCGCGCGUAGGCGGUUUCUUAAGUCUGAUGUGAAAGCCCACGGCUCAACCGUGGAGGGUCAUUGGAAACUGGGAAACUUGAGUACAGAAGAGGAAAGUGGAAUUCCAUGUGUAGCGGUGAAAUGCGCAGAGAUAUGGAGGAACACCAGUGGCGAAGGCGACUUUCUGGUCUGUAACUGACGCUGAUGUGCGAAAGCGUGGGGAUCAAACAGGAUUAGAUACCCUGGUAGUCCACGCCGUAAACGAUGAGUGCUAAGUGUUAGGGGGUUUCCGCCCCUUAGUGCUGCAGCUAACGCAUUAAGCACUCCGCCUGGGGAGUACGACCGCAAGGUUGAAACUCAA
rnacentral:rRNA from 1 species